UAACACAGUGAAGUAGGGUCAUGGGACAGGGUCAGAAAGGUCAUUAUAACACAGUGAAGUAGGGUCAUGGGACAGGGUCAGAAAGGUCAUUAUAACACAGUGAAGUAGGACCAUGGGACAGGGUCAGAAAGGUCAUUAUAACACAGUGAAGUAGGACCAUGGGACAGGGUCAGAAAGGUCAUUAUAACACAGUGAAGUAGGACCAUGGGACAGGGUCAGAAAGGUCAUUAUAACACAGUGAAGUAGGACCAUGGGACAGGGUCAGAAAGGUCAUUAUAACACAGUGAAGUAGGACCAUGGGACAGGGUCAGAAAGGUCAUUAUAACACAGUGAAGUAGGGUCAUGGGACAGGGUCAGAA